GUGCACCAGAUACUAGCCUUGCUAUCAAUGUCACAGCUUUAUACCUGAGACAAACCAUGAUUGUUGGGUCCAAAUGGUGCUAAAUCAAAGUAAGCCUGGAGUAUAUUAGCUCGGCGCAUGGAGAAACACCAUGAGUUAUAACUCAGAGGCACAUUU